UACGGGGGGGGCAAGCGUUGUUCGGAAUUACUGGGCGUAAAGGGCUCGUAGGCGGCCAACUAAGUCAGACGUGAAAUCCCUCGGCUUAACCGGGGAACUGCGUCUGAUACUGGAUGGCUUGAGAUUGGGAGAGGGAUGCGGAAUUCCAGGUGUAGCGGUGAAAUGCGUAGAUAUCUGGAGGAACACCAAUUGCGAAGGCAGCUCGCUGGGACGUUACUGACGCUGAGACGCGAAAGCGUGGGGAGCAAACAGG
rnacentral:rRNA from 1 species